AUGUUGGAAACCUUUAACCAUUGACCUCCAUAGUAUUUGUUUUUUCUAUUAUGGAUGGCAGUGGUUACCAGU
rnacentral:miRNA from 1 species